rnacentral:rRNA from 1 species
UCAGGGGGAUAACACUUGGUAAACAGGUGCUAAUACCGCAGAACAAUUUAUGCCGCACGGCAUAAGAGUGAAAGGCGCUUUCGGGUGUCGCUGAUGGAUGGACCCGCGGUGCAUUAGCUAGUUGGUGAGGUAACGGCUCACCAAGGCCACGAUGCAUAGCCCACCUGAGAGGGUGAUCGGCCACACUGGGACUGAGACACGGCCCAGACUCCUACGGGAGGCAGCAGUAGGGAAUCUUCGGCAAUGGACGAAAGUCUGACCGAGCAACGCCGCGUGAGUGAAGAAGGUUUUCGGAUCGUAAAACUCUGUUGUUAGAGAAGAACAAGGACGUUAGUAACUGAACGUCCCCUGACGGUAUCUAACCAGAAAGCCACGGCUAACUACGUGCCAGCAGCCGCGGUAAUACGUAGGUGGCAAGCGUUGUCCGGAUUUAUUGGGCGUAAAGCGAGCGCAGGCGGUUUCUUAAGUCUGAUGUGAAAGCCCCCGGCUCAACCGGGGAGGGUCAUUGGAAACUGGGAGACUUGAGUGCAGAAGAGGAGAGUGGAAUUCCAUGUGUAGCGGUGAAAUGCGUAGAUAUAUGGGAGGAACACCAGUGGCGAAGCGGCUCUCUGGUCUGUAACUGACGCUGAGGCUCGAAAGCGUGGGGAGCAACAGGAUUAGAUACCCUGGUAGUCCACGCCGUAACGAUGAGUGCUAAGUGUUGGAGGGUUUCCGCCCUUCAGUGCUGCAGCAACGCAAUAAGCACUCCGCCUGGGGAGUACGACGC